GCUGCAGCCUCCAUUCAGGCAGUUUGGAAGGGAUACCGUGCUCGUACAAGGGACAUUAAAGUUAUCAACAUUAGGAAUGAACUAAGAGUCAGAAGGUUGAUUUCCCUCAUAACCAAUUUAUACAGCGCAUUAGAGAGAGAACAUGAGGAUGCUGUCAAAAGCAGGGAACAGUUGACGACAGCUAUAAAAUAUCUUUGGCACCAGAUCACAGAACAGAAAAGACUGAGUCAAAUCCAGCUUCACAAAGAACAAGUUAAAGCAGCAAUUAAGAUACAAGCUUGGUGGUGGGUACAAAACGUUUCUAUCACUUUCAAAUCUAUGUGGGACACUUUGUGCUGGUAGACUCACAUGGGGAAACGGGGGUGUUGUAAUUAAAAUAGUUCUUUGAACUUACUGUUCUGUGUCGGUCAUACCUUGUUUAAAGUAUACAGGGCCAAUAUCUCUAAGUGUGUAGAUACUGUAUGUAUCGAAAUCCUCUUUCAUCGUGUCAUUAUUUUCCCCAAGACAGCUUAACUGAUCUUUUUUACAGUAGAUCACAGUACGAAAUAUCUAGGCAGUGAAUUUGUUGGUUUGCUCCCUUAAUUUUUCUG